AUGAAUAUGAAUCUAUCAAUUUCAAUUCCCUCUGCAGGGACAAGACUCUAUGCUGUCCAGACUGGAGCGGACUGCGGCUUUAAGUGGCUCACUCUCAACACCCUGAAAGAGCGAGCCAGAGAGGUUGAUGGUCUGGUCUGUGUUCAGGAAACAUGCUACUCCCACAGCCAGUCAGAUCAUAGUGCAGCACCUGCUCUACUCUGCUGUUGGUUUGUUGUUGGAGAGACGUGCCCACAUCCACUCUAGAUAAGACAGUAGUGUCCUCCUCUUAUUACUGGAACACUGCUGUCUCCACAAACACACUGAACAGACAAGACAAAUCUGGACCUGCAUGGAGACUGGGAAGGGUAGUGUAGUAGUGUCUCUGUGGUGAGAUGUGUAUACUGUAUUCUGCCAUAUUCUUAAAAUGUAAUAUUGUUCUUCACAAUAUGUUGGUAAGAAUCUAUAUCAAUUCAACAUGAGAGCACCACCAACAAGGCCACAUUUAACAUCUGAUAGUGGGAAUGCUAUUUAUAGUUAAAGAUUUCACGAAAGCUUUUAGACAAUAAACUAUAUUUUUCAAAAUAACGUGUUUGGAAUUUAGCAAAAUUACAACUCAUUAUCAUGAUGCACCUGAAUAAGCUGGAGAGUCAGAGGGUUAUUGUCAAGAUGUGUAUGAAGGCGAAGUCAGGUGCGGGAGAGCAGAGUGUGAUUAAAGGACAAAGGACUCUGUUGGGCAACACGGCCUUCCAUCUACCACCAACCUAUUGAAGCACAGCUCAGAGUAGAUAUUUAUUGCAUUUUCCUUUUCCAAAUGGGCGGUAACUUAGAAUGCAUAAGAUUCUGUAUUUUUGAUAGAGUAGCUGCCUAUGGCCCGAUAGAAACAUAGCUUCUCCCUUUGUUCUUCAGUCUUCCCACUCUUUCACUCAAACCCAACCCCCUUUUCUUUGUGUAACCAGCUGUCAUAUCUGUUCCAUCCACCAGGGACGUUUUCCUUUAUGACAUCAUUUGUAAUCAAGAUAUGAUUCAUUCUGUGUAUAUGUAAUUCUGUGUGAUUAGUUAGGCAUUUAGUGAAUAAAUAAUUCCACCCAAUAUUGUAUUGCUGAUUCAACUUGUUAGCCAGGGUUCGUGAAGAUAUCUGAAAGUUGUAAAUUCUUGGUUGAGACUGAAAUAAGGUGACGAUUAACCUCUUAAGGUAUAGGGGGCAGCAUUUUCACUUUUGGAUAAAUAGCGUGCCCAAUUUCAACUUCCUGCUACUCAUGCCAGGAAUAUAAGACAUGCAUAUUAUUAGUAGAUGUGGAUAGAAAACACUCUGAAGUUUCUAAAACUGUUUGAAUCAUGUCUGUGAGUAUAACAGAACUUAUGUAGCAAGCAAAACCCAGAGGACUAACUGUUCAGAUUAUUUUUAUUUGGCCUCUGACUGUUCCCUGUUGUCUUUGCCAAGGGAUAUUUCAUAGGAACCUGUUUUCAGUUCCUACCGCUUCCACUGGAUGUCACCAGUCUUUGGAAUUUGGGUGAGGUUAUUCAUUUGUGCAACGAAGAAGCACAUCCUGGAACAACACUAUUGAGAGUUGCGCAAGACGUAAAAAGGAGCAUAGUUUUAACUUUCAGAUGAGACUGAAAUAAGCUGACGAUUAAUAUUGACUGCUAUUGAUGUAAAAUAUUAUUAGGUCUUUAAGAGUUUAUUCGGAAGAUAACUGCUCUAUAAAUAUUCUUACCUGGUGCCCUUACUUUCUAGUUAAUUACAUUUACAUGAUUAGCUCAAUCAGGUAAUAUUAAUUACAGAGAAAGGAUUUUAUAGAAUAGCAUGUCAUAUCACUUAAUCCGACAUAGCCAAAGACACAACAUUUAUGGUGCCCCCGUGCGAGGAAUCUAAAAUAGGAUGAGGCUUUCAUUUUGAUUCAGCCUAUAUAAAAUGUAAAAGCAGAUUACAAAAUAUAAAAUGUAUACAGAUUACAAAAGUUUAUUAUACACAUUAUGGGAGUUGGAGACAGAAAUGAUUAGUGGUGUGUGUGCUGAAGAUUCCCCGUCUCUGUGUUGUUCUCUGACUUAGUCAGUGGGUACCUUAAGCGAAUACAUUUAUGUAUGAGGGCUGAUAAAGCUAAUUAUAGAAAUCUGAGAAAUACAGCGUUUGGGCAAACGCAGGGCUAUAUCUGCCUCGCGCGUUUCAGAUGCGGUCAUUAUUCAUUUCUCGAGUGAGGACAAAGAGCCAGCUGAUUGAAAUUCAGGAGAUAUUAGCUUGACCAGCGAUAAUUAUCUCUGUCUCUCUCGUGUUUCCACGCGAGUAGACCACGGUGCAGCUCGUUGUUUUCCGCGUGUUCCGGUUAAAACAUUGUCAAAAUAAUGCUGAAAAGGGACAUAAUAUGUUAUGAGUAAAACCCUUCCCUUGCCAAGGGAAUCCUAUGUUGUGCAUUUUCAUGCAUAAAGUAGGAUUAGCUUGCACGGGAUGUUAAGCUAACAAAGGGAAAAACAGCCAUCUUGUUUUGUGCCACAUUGUAAGUCCUCCGCCUUGCAGAACGGAAGUCCCGCCCUGGGUACUUUCGCAUGAUUUCAGCGUGGGCAAUCAGUGACCGCUGAAGUGUGCCAGUACAUUCCUUCAAGAAUAAUUAUUCAGGUCACACUCAAGUCAUUACUUAUGAUAUCCAGAUGGAUAUUUAUGUCUUAUUGAACUGAACUAAUAAGUGAAAUUGCCAGAUUUACAUUCUCAAGUGGAUCUUUUAAAUAAUAUCCAAAUUGAUGAGUUUUCUAAAUGAGACACUGUAAACUUUUUCCAAACUAACCUAGAUGAAGCAACUUCUCAGGUUAAUUAAAGUUUAAUUCCCAAAUAGCCUAUACAGGUUUGAUUUAUCAUUAAAAUUGAUCAAUCAGUCAAAUUUGGUUUUUGCAAAACCCAUUCAGUAAUCCAGUACUGACAGAAGUCCGCCCCCAGCGGGAAUCCCAUGUAACUUUGACCUUAGGGAGAAGUGUACCACAGUGGUGAAUGUUACCGUCAUUUGAUCUACUGUUUACACUUAUGAUAUCCAAUCAACGGAGAUCUCAUGGAUUAUCGUCUCAUUCAAUUUAAUAAGUUAAAUUGUUGAACAUACCUUAACGUUCUUCCAAUCAAAUGAGACACUUUUAAACUUCUCAUAUUAACCUGGAUGAAGCAACUUCUCAUAUUAACCUGGAUGAAGCAACUUCUCAUAUUAACCUGGAUGAAGCAACAUCUCAUAUUAACCUGGAUGAAGCAACUUCUCAUAUUAACCUGGAUGAAGCAACAUCUCAUAUUAACCUGGAUGAAGCAACUUCUCAUAUUAACCUGGAUGAAGCAACUUCUCAUAUUAACCUGGAUGAAGCAACUUCUGAGGUUAAUUAAAGUUUAAUACCCAGAUAGCCUACCCAGGUACGAUUAAUCAUUGGCAUUGAUUAAUUAAUUAAAUUUGCUUUUGCAAAUUCAUUCACGUCCAACUUCCACAUUACUGGUACGGUACUGAUGGUUCGUCAACAUCUAUAAAUAGAUUAAACUUGUCUUUGCAGCUUCCAAUGAAUUCCAAACCCAAACUUUGAAAAAAAUAGAAACAUUUU
rnacentral:lncRNA from 1 species